GUGCAAAAAUGAAGGAAGAAAUAAAUAAGAAAUCAGACAAAAGCAACCGUUAUGCCAACUGUUUUUUUAUGU
rnacentral:ribozyme from 14 species